ensembl:lncRNA LOC102555109 uncharacterized LOC102555109
CCUCUCCUCCAAGCUUGGGCUUGCCAGUAAGACACUCCCCUUCUGCACACUAUAAAGGCAACAGCUGGCUCUGAGCACUUCCUCCUAGGUCAGCUUCAAGUGACUCUGAGGAGUCAGUCCUGGUCAAGAGGCCCAAGGGUAGUGCCCCUUCGGAACCGUGAAUAACUGGCUCCCCGCUGGCGGGGGCAAGUGGCACCCGAACAGGGACCCUGAAGUACAGCCAACUACCGGAUGAUGGAGACAGGAGAUCCACGGAGAGAUUGAGGACUCUUCAGGCUGCAUCGCUUGUGCAUCGCUGGAGAGGGAAGUAAGACCAGUCGAAUAAGUGUCAUCCCAUCGCCAUGGAGAAGGAUGCUACAGGAGUGUGCCAGCUGCCUGAGUGGCUAGUGAGACAUGCUGAUCCUGGGAGCAUGAAGAUUCAGCUCUCCUGGUUCGGGUCCCUGGAGUCAUUCCUGUGCACUUGGAGGAAGAUGGAGGAUACCCCCUCAUCUUUUGUCAUCACAGAGAUUUUGGCGUUGCUGCAGUCAUUGUGUCCCGUCCCACCGCCCUCUGUGCACUGCUGCUCCCUGGAGAAGACUGGACUCCAGCUGUUACCCCUGCCCCCCUCAGUCCCCUGGUGACUCUUGCUGCCUUAACUGGUAUUGUCAUUUUGCAGUCUGUAGCUUCACAGGAAUGCCAUCUGCAUGAAGCUGCUGUGGACUGGGGAACUCUGCCCUGGUUCUGCAGAUCUCAGACAUGGUUCCAUUGCCUGCUGGUUGUUCCAGAGAAGAAUAACUAAUCCUGAACUGUCAUUUUCGCUGCUAUUGUAGCAGCCAUUACUGCUGCAGCCAUUGUGUCUGCAGUGUCUGGAGUUACCCUCCCCCAAUCUAUUGUUAGGCAAUAGCAGAGUGGGUGAACUUUCUGGAGUAGUUGCUAACAAUUGGGAAUUCUAAAUUUUAUUACAGGAGUUGCUUGACUACGGCCGUUGGUGGUAUGGCCAUAGAAGCUGAGGAGAACCAGAUGAGGUGCCCACUACUUAUCGGGAGAGGCUCAACUUCCACAAUCUCUUAAAUUAAUGCCAUCUGGCCCCUGCUCUUUCGCCCCUGGGCUCAAAUAAGGGGAAUGAGAAGAUGAUCCAAUGUAGCUUUCCUCAGCGAUGGGCAACUUCCUCUGACCCUUGACCAAUCUAAGACAUGGUGCCUUGGGGGUGACAAGGUGAUCCUAUAACAGAUAAGGCUGGGGUUCGAGAGGUCGAUCCUAAGACAGAGGUGGCUACAGCCUGUUUAAACAUACAGGCCGGUCAAAUGCUCCUCUGCCCAGUUUCUUCCCGAAUAAACACACAGAACGGUGUGUUACAGCAUAAGUUCAUUCCUAGCCAUUGGGGUGCAGGAAGAUAACAUUCACAGGAUGCUUCAGCCUAAGCAAAAAUCAGUUAUCUCCUCCCAGUGAUAAGUUGUAGAUCAGUUGUCUACACCCGGUGUCUCCACCACCUGACCUCAUUGCCUGACCUCUUUGCCUCCAGCUAUCACUGCCUAUACCCUCAUCUCCCCCUCCUUCAUGUUUCACAAAGGUCACUCCCCCUACCUGAAAGCCUUAAAAGCUGUAACGUUCAUCCCAAUAAAUGAGACCUUGACAAUAGAAUCUUGCUUGGUCUCCUUCUUCUCUCGCCCCCCAUUAGGCCCAAGGGUAGUGCCCCUUCGGAACCCUGGAUCCCCGCUGGCAGGGACAUGUGUGUGUGU